rnacentral:rRNA from 1 species
CCUACGGGAGGCAGCAGUGAGGAAUAUUGGUCAAUGGACGCAAGCCUGACCCAGCAACGCCGCGGGAAGGAAGAAGGCUUUCGGGUUGUAAACUUCUUUUAAGGGGGAAGAGCAGAAGACGGUACCCCUUGAAUAAGCCACGGCUAACUACGUGCCAGCAGCCGCGGUAAUACGUAGGUGGCAAGCGUUGUCCGGAUUUACUGGGUGUAAAGGGCGUGCAGCCGGAGAGACAAGUCAGAUGUGAAAUCCACGGGCUCAACCCGUGAACUGCAUUUGAAACUGUUUCCCUUGAGUGUCGGAGAGGUAAUCGGAAUUCCUUGUGUAGCGGUGAAAUGCGUAGAUAUAAGGAAGAACACCAGUGGCGAAGGCGGAUUACUGGACGAUAACUGACGGUGAGGCGCGAAAGCGUGGGGAGCAAACAGGAUUAGAUACCCUUGUAGUC